rnacentral:rRNA from 1 species
UACGAAGGGGGCUAGCGUUGUUCGGAAUUACUGGGCGUAAAGGGCGCGUAGGCGGUGUGUCAAGUCAGGCGUGAAAGCCCCGGGCUCAACCUGGGAACCGCGCUUGAGACUGCCGCGCUCGAGUUCGGGAGAGGAUGGUGGAAUUCCCAGUGUAGAGGUGAAAUUCGUAGAUAUUGGGAAGAACACCGAUGGCGAAGGCAGCCAUCUGGACCGACACUGACGCUGAGGCGCGAAAGCGUGGGGAGCAAACAGG